UACGUAGGGUGCAAGCGUUGUCCGGAAUUAUUGGGCGUAAAGAGCUCGUAGGCGGUUUGUCGCGUCGAAUGUGAAAACCCGGGGCUCAACCCCGGGCCUGCAUUCGAUACGGGCAGACUAGAGUUCGGUAGGGGAGUCUGGAAUUCCUGGUGUAGCGGUGAAAUGCGCAGAUAUCAAGCGGAACACCGGUGGCGAAGGCGGCCUUCUGGACAGUGACUGACGCUGAGACGCGAAAGCGUGGGGAGCAAACAGG
rnacentral:rRNA from 1 species